GAUGAACGCUGGCGGCGUGCCUAAUACAUGCAAGUCGAGCGAACAGACGAGGAGCUUGCUCCUCUGACGUUAGCGGCGGACGGGUGAGUAACACGUGGAUAACCUACCUAUAAGACUGGGAUAACUUCGGGAAACCGGAGCUAAUACCGGAUAAUAUAUUGAACCGCAUGGUUCAAUAGUGAAAGACGGUUUUGCUGUCACUUAUAGAUGGAUCCGCGCCGCAUUAGCUAGUUGGUAAGGUAACGGCUUACCAAGGCAACGAUGCGUAGCCGACCUGAGAGGGUGAUCGGCCACACUGGAACUGAGACACGGUCCAGACUCCUACGGGAGGCAGCAGUAGGGAAUCUUGCGCAAUGGGCGAAAGCCUGACGGAGCAACGCCGCGUGAGUGAUGAAGGUCUUCGGAUCGUAAACCUCUGUUAUUCGGGAAGAACAAAUGUGUAAGUAACUAUGCACGUCUUGACGGUACCUAAUCAGAAAGCCACGGCUAACUACGUG
rnacentral:rRNA from 1 species